rnacentral:tRNA from 1 species
AUCUAGAUAACUUAUAUUUUAAAGUUUAACUCUGAAGAAGUUAUUAAAGGUGAAUUACCUUCUAGAUA